GUUCGAUGUCGUCAACAAAUUCACCAUAGCAGUUAUCUACCAUGACCAUGCAGCCUGGGUUCUGCAUCUUGAUUAUAUCAAUUGCUCGACCUAUCUCAGUGACACUCAAACUGCGACGCCAAGAAUAACCACAUGAUCUCUGUAUGAGUGCACACUUAGUGUGAGGUCUUAUAGAGGUUUUAAGUGCAUCCCAAUCAAGCCCGCCAUCCUCUGCAAGUGGGACUUCCCGGUAUUCUACUCCAAAAUCUUUCAAGGAACCGAAUCCACCAGAGUCCCUUUUUCCAAUUACUUCCUCCAGAGUAUCAUAAGGUGCACCAGCUAUCGCUAACAACUCAUCCCCUGGCCUUAAGAAAGCGAAUAAGGCACAAGUGAUUGCAUGAGUACCUGAGAAGAACUGUGAUCG
rnacentral:misc_RNA from 1 species